CCAGCUUUCUACAUUACAAGCAAUAUCUCAAUUGUCAUAUUGUCUUUCAUGGAUGCUGUAUUAAUUUAUUCUUUUAUCUAGUUUUAGAGACUAUUUAUUUUUCUGUGUCCUCACCAACAUGAAGGAUCAUCAGAUGUUUUACAUUUGUUGUGAUUCCUUUCAAACCAAAUAAAGUGCCUCCCGAGAGACUCUGGGGAAUUCCUACACCUGCAUGCUCUGCUCAACUGCUACGGUUUCCCAGUGGUUCCCUUUGGCAUCUCACAUUGCUUUGAGCUGAAGACUUCUCUCAUGGCCUCCUCUAGCACCCCCAGGGAUCACUGAGCAAGGCUAUGGUAUAAUAAGCCCGAGUGAAAGUUGUAGGCUCACGUGAGUCUGUUCAGUGUGGAAAAUGGAAGCUGCUGGCUGCAAUGCAUGUGAACAUCACACACUGCCUCUCAAGUUGGCUCUGGUGGCCACUCUUCAUGUUUCCAAGGCACAGUCAACCUGCCGUUGUCCUUGCCUGUCAGCCAAUCCGAGG
rnacentral:lncRNA from 1 species